rnacentral:lncRNA from 1 species
UUGGGCUUUGCCUAGCAUCUGUGAGGCCCUGCGUUCAUCCACCAGAACUACAUAAGCUGGACGUUGUGACGAGCACCUGUAACCCCAGCACUCCAGAUGAAGAUGCGGGAGGAUGGGAGCAAGUUCAAGGUCAUCCUGAGCUAGAGAGAGAGCUUGAGGCCAGCCUGGGAGAACUAGCCUCUUUCAAGAAGCAGCAAAAUGUCGUUUUAUUGAAAUAAGACAAGACUAGAGUGUCAGUGGAGUGGGCAAAGGGCUCCUCAUACAACUGUGAAGAUUCGAGUUCAAAUCCCCAGGCAGGCCUGUUCACCUUUUCAAUGUUCCUACAGUGAGGCAGGAGGUGUUUCCAGAAAGAAGGAAGCACGUGGGCCAACCAGGGUGGUGAUUGCAGCGAAUUGUAGUGAUGGCCAGCAAAUUACCAUGUUUCAGAGGUGGGAGGCGAGGACCAGCACCCUAGGGUGUCCUCACACCCCACACUUGUGCCUGUACAUCCAUCACAUACACAAGAAAAGCACACCCACAGGAAGUGGACAAAGCUUUUAGCAUAUUCACCGCCAUUUCUAAAAUCACCCCCCAGCACACUGGGACUACCUUAGAAAACAAUCUUGCGUUCUUUGAUCCUUAUUCCCCAGUCCUUUGGUCCUUCCUAGCCUCAGGAAACCAUUAAUCAGUUUUUUGUUUUUAUAUAGAUUUGCCUAUUGUGGACAUUUCCACCAAUAGCUUCAAUUGUAUGUGGUCUUUUGUGAAUGGCUUCUUUAUUAUUUUAAAAAUUAUGGGCACACACACACACACACACAUGUAGGGAGAGGCAGAGAGAGAGGAGAGACAGAGGCAGAGAGAGACAGAGGCAGAGAGAGACAGAGAAUUUGUUCAGGUGCCUGGUGAGGUCAGAGGUGUUGAAUCCCCUGGAGCUGGAGGAGGUACAGGCAGUCUCGAGCCACCUGAUGUGGGCGCUGGCAACAGAAUUCUGGUCUUCCUGAAAAAGCACAUGUAAGGGCUAAAGUUAACCUGGAAGCCACACUUGCCCAAGGACAGAUAGCUUCCUGAAAUGCUGGGGCCUGUCUGUUGUUCAUGUGAGAUAACAAGUCACAGUUUUUACUUCAUUAAACAAGACUGGUUGCCACAACUGCAAGGUCGUGCUUAAUUCCAUGUAGUCAGGGAGCAGCCUAGGCAGGAAGCACAUCAGGAUGUGUGCUUAGCCCUGAUUGGACAAAAGCAGGAAGUACCAAAGGCUGUGGGUUCCUACCUUUAGAGGCAUCUGACUGAUCUGAUUUGGCUCUGUUUCUUUGGGAAUCCCAGAUACAGAAACAGCCAGCGUCCACCUUCCUGGCCAGUAUUCAAUAAAGCUUGCUUUAAUCGG